CGCCUCCUGCAAAAAUCAAUGUAUAGGAGGUCUUGCCUGCCCAGUGACAAGUUAAACGGCCGCGGUAUUUUGACCGUGCGAAGGUAGCGCAAUCACUUGUCUUUUAAAUGAAGACCUGUAUGAAUGGCGAAACGAGGGCUUAACUGUCUCCCCUUUCCAGUCAAUGAAAUUGAUCUGCCCGUGCAGAAGCGGACAUAUAAAUACAAGACGAGAAGACCCUUUGGAGCUUAAGAUAAUAGAUCAACUAUGUCAAGAGCCUAAUAACCAGGCCAAACUAAAUAAUAACUGAUCCCUAUCUUCAGUUGGGGCGACUACGGGAGAAAAUAAAGCUCCCACGAGGACUGGGGCAUUAAACCUAAAACCAAGAAAGGCACUUCUAAGUCACAGAAUAUCUGACCUUUUAAGAUCCGGCCACCCGCCGACCAACGGACCAAGUUACCCUAGGGAUAACAGCGCAAUCCCCUUUCAGAGUCCAUAUCGACAAGGGGGUUUACGACCUCGAUGUUGGAUCAGGACAUCCUAAUGGUGCAGCCGCUAUUAAGGGUUCGUUUGUUCAACGAUUAAAGUCCU
rnacentral:rRNA from 1 species